rnacentral:rRNA from 1 species
CACGUAGGGGACGAGCGUUGUCCGGAUUCAUUGGGCGUAAAGCGCGCGUAGGCGGUUCGGUAAGUCGGGUGUGAAAACUUUGGGCUCAACCCAAAGCCUGCACUCGAUACUGCUGUGGCUAGAGUCCAGUAGGGGAGCGUGGAAUUCCUGGUGUAGCGGUGAAAUGCGCAGAUAUCAGGAGGAACACCAGCGGCGAAGGCGGCGCUCUGGGCUGGAACUGACGCUGAGGAGCGAAAGCGUGGGGAGCGAACGGG